rnacentral:rRNA from 1 species
AGAGGGUGCAAGCGUUAAUCGGAGUGACUGGGCGUAAAGGGCGUGUAGGUGGAUUGGUGAGUUAUGUGUGAAAUAUCCGGGGCUUAACCUGGGAGGUGUCAUGUAAUACUGCCAGUCUAGAGUAGAGUAGAGGGAAGUAGAAUUUCCGGUGUAGCGGUGAAAUGCGUAGAUAUCGGAAGGAAUACCAGUGGCGAAGGCGGCUUCCUGGACUCAUACUGACACUGAGGCGCGAAGGCGUGGGUAGCAAACAGGAUUAGAUACCCUGGUAGUCCACGCAGUAAACGAUGAGAACUAGACGCUUGAUUGUUUAACAAUUGAGUGUCGAAGCUAACGCAUUAAGUUCUCCGCCUGGGGAGUACGGUCGCAAGAUUA